AAGUCGUAACAAGGUUUCCGUAGGUGAACCUGCGGAAGGAUCAUUAACACGUAUCCACGUAUCACCCAUGUGAACUUGAUUCUUUUUGUUUUUAAUUUAGUAGAAAUACUAAAUUUUAAACAAUAAAUCCUUAAUUAUGAUUAUAUAUAUAUAUUUUUCGAAAUAUAUAUAUUUAUUAUAGUUAAGGUGCACUUGAUUUAUUUCAAGUGUUAUGUUUUAUUUACUCAUUGUAAAUCAUUUCUGUUCUGAUUAUGAUGAAUAACUUUGUUAUUCAUUAAAUUUAUCUAACAAUGUACAACUCUUAGCAACGGAUAUCUUGGUUCUC
rnacentral:misc_RNA from 1 species